rnacentral:rRNA from 1 species
GAUGAACGCUGGCGGCGUGCCUAAUACAUGCAAGUCGAGCGAACAGAUGAGAAGCUUGCUUCUCUGAUGUUAGCGGCGGACGGGUGAGUAACACGUGGGUAACCUACCUAUAAGACUGGGAUAACUCCGGGAAACCGGGGCUAAUACCGGAUAAUAUUUUGAACCGCAUGGUUCAAUAGUGAAAGACGGUUUCGGCUGUCACUUAUAGAUGGACCCGCGCCGUAUUAGCUAGUUGGUAAGGUAACGGCUUACCAAGGCGACGAUACGUAGCCGACCUGAGAGGGUGAUCGGCCACACUGGAACUGAGACACGGUCCAGACUCCUACGGGAGGCAGCAGUAGGGAAUCUUCCGCAAUGGGCGAAAGCCUGACGGAGCAACGCCGCGUGAGUGAUGAGGGUCUUCGGAUCGUAAAACUCUGUUUUUUGGGACGAACGGCUCAUAUGUGAAUAAUGUAUGAGAUUGACGGUACCAAAGGAGGAAGCCCCGGCUAACUACGUGCCAGCCGCCGCGGUAA